rnacentral:rRNA from 1 species
UACGGAGGACCCAAGCGUUAUCCGGAUUCAUUGGGUUUAAAGGGUGCGUAGGCGGGCCUAUAAGUCAGUGGUGAAAGCCCUUCGCUCAACGAAGGAAUUGCCAUUGAUACUGUAGGUCUUGAGUACAGCUGAGGUUGGCGGAAUGUGUCAUGUAGCGGUGAAAUGCUUAGAUAUGACCCAGAACACCGAUUGCGAAGGCAGCUAGCUAAACUGUAACUGACGCUGAGGCACGAAAGCGUGGGUAGCAAACAGG